rnacentral:misc_RNA from 1 species
GAUGAAGAACGCAGCGAAAUGCGAUAAGUAAUGUGAAUUGCAGAAUUCAGUGAAUCAUCGAAUCUUUGAACGCACAUUGCGCCCGCCAGUAUUCUGGCGGGCAUGCCUGUUCGAGCGUCAUUACAACCCUCAGGCCCCCGGGCCUGGCGUUGGGGAUCGGCGAGGCGCCCCCAGCGGGCACGCGCCGUCCCCCAAAUACAGUGGCGGUCCCGCCGCAGCUUCCAUUGCGUAGUAGCUAACACCUCGCAACUGGAGAGCGGCGCGGCCAUGCCGUAAAACACCCAACUUCUGAAUGUUGACCUCGAAUCAGGUAGGAAUACCCGCUGAACUUAAGCAUAUCAAUAAGCGGAGGA